GAUGAACGCUGGCGGCGUGCCUAAAACAUGCAAGUCGAGCGGCAGCGAGUUCCUCGCUAAUGUUCGGAUUUGUUUACCAAUGAUGCAAGUAAUUUAGUCAGAGUAACAAAGUAACGACUAGUUGUUUAAGUUAAAAGGUAGAUUUAAUAUUCCGGAUAUGAGCGAGGAAUGUCGGCGAGCGGCGGACGGCUGAGUAGCGCGUAGGAACAUACCCCAAAGUGAGGCAUAACCGCCCGAAAGGGUGGCUAAUACCGCAUAUUGUCUUCGGAUGAAAGCUUUAGCGCUUUGGGAAUGGCCUGCGUUUGAUUAGCUAGUUGGUGAGGUAAGGGCUUACCAAGGCGAUGAUCAAUAGCUGGUUUGAGAGAAUGAUCAGCCAGACUGGAACUGAGACACGGUCCAGACUCCUACGGGAGGCAGCAGUUGGGAAUUUUCCACAAUGGGCGAAAGCCUGAUGGAGCAACGCCGCGUGCAGGAAGAAUGCCUUCGGGUUGUAAA
rnacentral:rRNA from 1 species